ensembl:snoRNA SNORD31 Small nucleolar RNA SNORD31
GGUGGAUGUGAUGAUUCCUUGUUUACCGCCCCAGUCUGAGAAGUAAUGACUGAUUGGUAUUACUCUGAUCCAAC